AGAAUGCAAAGAAAUGGAUCAGCUAGCCGAGGGUUGGAGAAGACCAGGCUGAGGCUGUGUCGGGAAGCCAGGAUUCCAGAAUCAGCAUUCCUCACUGGCCUCACAAGGGAAAGCUGGGAAGCCCGGUGCUGGUGUGCAGUAGAAGGACACUCGUGAAGUCGUAGCCAUAAAGUGUGUAGCCAAGAAAAGUCUGAACAAGGCAUCGGUGGAGAACCUCCUCACGGAGAUUGAGAUCCUCAAGGGCAUUCGACAUCCCCACAUUGUGCAGCUGAAAGACUUUCAGUGGGACAGUGACAAUAUCUACCUCAUCAUGGAGUUUUGCGCAGGGGGCGACCUGUCUCGCUUCAUCCAUACCCGCAGGAUUCUGCCUGAGAAGGUGGCACGUGUCUUCAUGCAGCAAUUAGCUAGCGCCCUGCAAUUCCUGCAUGAACGGAAUAUCUCUCACCUGGAUCUGAAGCCACAGAACAUUCUACUGAGCUCCUUGGAGAAGCCCCACCUAAAACUGGCAGACUUUGGUUUCGCACAACACAUGUCCCCGUGGGAUGAGAAGCACGUGCUCCGUGGCUCCCCCCUCUACAUGGCCCCCGAGAUGGUGUGCCAGCGGCAGUAUGACGCCCGCGUGGACCUCUGGUCCGUGGGGGUCAUCCUGUAUGGUGAGACCUCUUUUCCCUGCUUCUCACCCUGAGGCCUACACUGUUUCCUCAGGCAAGGCCUCUCUGGGCCACUUCUGAAGGGUUCUGAUGAAAACUGACUGCUGGCCCAGGGCCCCUGCUGAGGGGCGUCAGGCCAGGCUUGACCCAUUCCCUCCCAGCCUCCACUCUGCCUCCCUUCCACAGAAGCCCUCUUCGGGCAGCCCCCCUUUGCCUCCAGGUCGUUCUCGGAGCUGGA
rnacentral:sRNA from 1 species